CAACCAUUUACACAUCUCAGUGUUCUGAAUAAGAGAAUACAAAAAGUAUGAAUAAAAAGCCAUAUGCAUUCAUGUGACACAGCUGAGUCACUACCUAUAGGCGGGACACAUUCAGUAUUAUUUGAUGUUAAUGUGUGCCCCUCUUAGGAAAAUAUUUUUUGAUUACACACUGAUAUAAAAAGCCAAGAUCAUCCGAGGCUCCAGAAGAAAUACCAACGGUAUUCCUUCCUAAGUCCAUAUAGCAAUUGGACAGAUCAAUACAAUGAGAAAGGCAUGACAACAAAUAUGCAAUGAUAGAAGGACCAGCACAAUAGAAAAGUACCAUAAAGAAAGGGAAGAAGAUCGCUCACCUGCUUCAGAAGAUUCCAGGUUCACAGGGGAAAGCUACACCAAGGAGGGAUCUCCAACCAGAGAUCCUUCCCCAGUGGCAGUCAGCCCUUAAAUGAGGCCUAAGAGAGGUGUAGCCAGGCUCCACCCCUUCUGGUCACACAGGUGAAUUGCCUUCACCUGUGCUCCCAAGGCUGACUGGGUCCUUUCCCAGGUGCUGAAUCAGUGGUUCAGGCCCUGACUCAACAGUUACCAUACAAUACCCACAGUAAAUAUUAUGUCCCCAUCGGGUGCUGAUACUCACUGUUCUAUGGGGGAGGGGCCUCUGUAGCAUUGUCUAGAAAGACCUGUGCUAUGGUAGGCACUCACUCUAUGGCUAUCAAGGCAUUUGCAGAACCCAGAUGGGUUAUUAUUUAUCAAAAGUUCAUCUGUCUUGAAAUAGAAUUAGGAAGAGCUUUUAUAUACUGAGACAAAAGCUACGGGUUUUUCACUCUUUCACAGAGUACCUCAAUCUGUUCCUUUGCGUGGGAGCUUUUCUUGCAGCAAAGCACCAUGAGGGCCACCUAGCAGACACCCUGUGGGGAGUGGUUUUGUGACUGAACUGUAAAAAGUCACUGGCUUUAAAAAGUUUCACAUUCCCACCUUGAGUGGAGCAAUAACUCCUCCUUGUAAUAAAUGAUGUUUCUUUAAUUUGGGUGUAAAUUAAGGACCCUGAUGAUUGGUUUCUUAUAUUUGUUCUGCACUCCCAAAGGGAAAAAAGAACCUGGCAAGGAAAGCAGGUAUCCAAUGAAUCAAUCUUCUGUUGAUUGAAUGAGGUUACUAUUAUUUCUAAAGACUUGUAAAAGCAUGACUUUACUUCUGUAUUUAAUUUUAUUAUUACUGACACUUCUGGUCAACUUAAUGCUCCGUUAAUGGCUGCAGUUUCUUUGGAAAACUCAGCUCUUAUACAUAAUGCUCACUUUUUGAUGGCAUUGUGACCUGUUACCCAGAUCACACAGCAAGUGCAAGCCUGGGCAAUAUGGUCAUCUGUACCAGUCCGUCUGACCCAGCAUCCUAUUUCUGACUGUCGUCCAUAGCAGAUGAGUAGAGAUAGAGCAAAAGCAUCAUGAACAAGGUGAUUUUUUCUCUGAUGUACCUGUCCAGCCAUCAGCAGCUAGAGGUUUUCUGGAUCAGGAGAGGGCAUAUUGCAUUAUUAAGGUCUUGACUGAGGUAUUCCCUGUAAAUUGUCUGGUAUUUUCUUGUGACUUAAUUUAUUUUUGUCUGCCAUGGCAUCCUGUGGGAAUGAAUUCCACAGCACAAUUGUGCUCUGUGUGUAACGAUUUAAACCAAUAAUACUGCCUGAUUAUUCUAGUUUUUCUGAUGCAGGUUGUAAUGAGUAAGUGCUUCCUAUCUAUCUCCUCCCCCGCUGUCUUGGUUUUAUAGCUAUUACAUUUCCUCACAAUUCUCUCUUUUUCAAGAUAAAAAAGAAACCAAAACACAAAAAACUGCAGUCUCUCUACUUUCCCCUCACAUUCCAUAGCUCUGAUCAUCCUGUAGCUUUCCCUAACCUUUCUUUCACUUGACAGUCCUUUCUGAGGCUGGGGAACAGAACUGCCUGCAAUAACCACAGUGUAGGUGGAUGAUAAAUUCAGACAGUGAAACGAUUGUUUUUGUUUCACUCUUCUCUCUUAGAAUCUUUCUGACUUUCUCUGAGUCAUCCAUAACCAUUUUUGGAGCGUUAACCACAGUGACCCCAAGAUCUCUUCCCUAAGCAGCAAGAAGUACAUAUAUAGGUAUCUCUGAAAGUAAUGCCUCCUAUUUAUUUCCAUGUAAACAACAAUGGAUACAAGGAGCACAAUAACAGUACUUGAUAGAGUAAAUUCUCAGCUACAAAGCACUUUUUCAACACAGUCACCACCAUUUGCUAUGCAUCUUCACCAGCAAUGAACCAGAGCCUGCAUUUCAUGCUUGUAAACAUCUGCACCGGUGGAGGUGACCCACUGUCACUGUUGCCACUGCUGAGUGCUAUUUUUUUCACAAGGAGGAAUUCAGUUCCGCCCCUUUGCUUUAUACACACUUCCAUGUCAGAUGCCAUUUUGUCAGACUGUCCCUCUACCACCAUCUGUCUUACAGCAACAAAAUAUAAUGGAAUAUUGGUGGGGAGGUUCAGCAUCUACUGCCAUACUACCAACAUUUGCCUCUGAUAUAAUGGGCCAAUAUAAUAAAACAGGAUGCAUUACUUUCGGAGCAGUCAUCAUGGUUUAGUAAUCAGUGUUCUGCACAAGGAGACCAAUUUAUCAUGUUCUAUCUGUCCCCUGGCUUGUGUCUCUCAUUAAUGAAUUUCAUCUGCCACCUUAUCCCCAUCUUCUAGCAUAUUCCGUACAUGAAAGCGUUAAUCCUGAGUACAGGGAAUAGAAAAGAUGAAACAUUGCACGUAUCUUGACUUAUUAUUUCUCUCUCUGUUUGAACAACGCAUUCCCCGCCUGCCAACAACGCUAUGCUGAUCUCUCACUGACAUCCCC
rnacentral:lncRNA from 1 species